rnacentral:tRNA from 1 species
CCCCGGUUAGCUUAACUGGCAAAGCGGCGUACUUAUACUACGUAUUUAUGAGUUCGAAUCUCAUACUGGGGACC